GACGAACGCUGGCGGCGUGCUUAACACAUGCAAGUCGAACGGAAAGGCCCUGCUUUUGUGGGGUGCUCGAGUGGCGAACGGGUGAGUAACACGUGAGUAACCUGCCCUUCACUUUGGGAUAACUUCAGGAAACUGGGGCUAAUACCGGAUAGGAGCUCCUGCUGCAUGGUGGGGGUCGGAAAGUUUCGGCGGUUGGGGAUGGACUCGCGGCUUAUCAGCUUGUUGGUGGGGUAGUGGCUUACCAAGGCUUUGACGGGUAGCCGGCCUGAGAGGGUGACCGGCCACAUUGGGACUGAGAGACGGCCCAGACUCCUACGGGAGGCAGCAGUGGGGAAUAUUGCACAAUGGGCGGAAGCCUGAUGAAGCAACGCCGCGUGCGGGAUGACGGCCUGCGGGUUGUAAACCGCUUUCGCCUGUGACGAAGCGUGAGUGACGGUAAUGGGUAAAGAAGCACCGGCUAACUACGUG
rnacentral:rRNA from 1 species